rfam:Oryza nivara chromosome 4, whole genome shotgun sequence.
AAUAAAUAGUUUUCCGUGUCCAACUUUAACCAUUCGUUUUAUUUAAAAUUCUUUUAAAAAAAAAUAAAAAUAUAAGUCACGAGUAAAGUAUUAUUCAUAUUUUAUCAUCUUAUAACAACAAAAAUGCUAAUUAUAAAAAAAAUUUAAAUAAGACGGACGAUCAAAGUUGAGCGCGGAAAAUCAUGACUGCAAUUAGU